rnacentral:misc_RNA from 1 species
AUUUAACAGCCAUUUUCUGCUCACGAACGUUGCGUCGUGAAACUGAAUUAUUAAAAGACGUUUAUUCUUAUUUAACACAGACAGAAUGGCAGAAGGAACAAAUGAUGAUUUGGCAACAGCCAUUCUGAAAAAGAAGGACCGUCCAAACAGAUUACUGGUAGAAGAAGCUAUAAAUGAAGACAAUUCUGUGGUUUCCCUUUCACAGGCCAAAAUGGAUGAGCUUCAGCUCUUUCGUGGUGACACAGUUCUGUUGAAGGGAAAAAGAAGGAAGGACACAGUUUGCAUUGUUCUCUCUGACGACACAGUUAGCGAUGACAAAAUCCGAAUAAACCGAUGUGUCCGUAACAAUCUGAGAGUUCGUCUGGGAGAUGUUGUCAGCAUCCAAGCUUGUCCUGAUGUAAAGUAUGGAAAAAGAAUCCACGUUCUGCCUAUUGAUGACACAGUCGAGGGACUAACUGGAAAUCUUUUUGAAGUUUAUCUGAAACCCUACUUCCUGGAAGCAUACCGACCAAUCAGAAAGGGGGACAUAUUUUUGGUGCGUGGAGGCAUGAGAGGAGUAGAGUUUAAGGUCAUAGAGACUGACCCCAACCCCUACUGCAUCGUAGCACCGGACACUGUCAUCCAUUGUGAGGGAGAACCAGUCAAAAGAGAGGAGGAAGAAGAGGCUCUGAAUGAGGUGGGAUACGAUGAUAUCGGCGGCUGCCGCAAACAACUGGCUCAGAUCAAAGAAAUGGUGGAACUCCCCCUCAGACACCCACAGCUCUUUAAGGCCAUUGGAGUCAAGCCACCCCGAGGAAUACUGCUGUAUGGUCCCCCUGGUACUGGAAAAACUCUGAUAGCCAGAGCAGUGGCCAACGAAACUGGAGCUUUCUUCUUCCUUAUUAAUGGUCCUGAAAUUAUGAGUAAAUUGGCUGGUGAGUCGGAAAGUAACCUGAGAAAGGCAUUUGAGGAGGCAGAGAAGAAUGCUCCUGCCAUCAUCUUUAUUGAUGAAUUGGAUGCCAUUGCUCCAAAGCGAGAAAAGACCCACGGAGAGGUGGAGAGGAGAAUUGUCUCUCAGCUCUUGACUUUGAUGGAUGGUCUCAAACAGAGGGCACAUGUGAUCGUCAUGGCUGCCACAAACAGGCCAAACAGUGUCGACGGAGCCCUGCGACGAUUUGGUCGAUUCGACAGAGAAGUUGACAUUGGAAUUCCUGAUGCCACUGGGCGUUUGGAGAUCCUGAGAAUUCACACAAAGAACAUGAAGCUUGCUGACGAUGUAGAUUUGGAGCAGGUGGCCCAGGAGACCCACGGGCACGUGGGAGCUGAUUUAGCCGCUCUCUGCUCUGAGGCCGCCCUUCAACAGAUCCGUGAGAAGAUGGACCUGAUUGAUCUUGAGGACGAACACAUUGAUGCUGAGGUCCUGGACUCUCUGGCCGUCACAAUGGAGGACUUCAGGUGGGCUCUGAGUAAGAGCAACCCCAGCGCUCUGAGAGAGACCUGUGUGGAGGUUCCGACUGUCACCUGGGAGGACAUUGGAGGUCUGGAGAGCGUCAAGAAGGAGCUCCAGGAGCUUGUGCAGUACCCAGUGGAACAUCCAGAGAAAUUCCUGAAGUUUGGAAUGACCCCUUCAAAAGGAGUGCUGUUCUAUGGACCACCAGGUUGUGGUAAGACUCUGCUGGCCAAGGCCAUCGCUAAUGAAUGCCAGGCCAACUUCAUCUCCAUCAAGGGCCCCGAGCUGCUGACCAUGUGGUUUGGAGAAUCAGAGGCCAAUGUGAGGGAUAUCUUUGACAAGGCCCGAUCUGCCGCCCCCUGUGUGCUGUUCUUUGAUGAGCUGGACUCCAUUGCCAAGGCAAGAGGAGGAAACGCGGGAGACGGAGGUGGUGCCGCAGAUAGAGUUAUCAACCAGCUUUUGACAGAAAUGGACGGAAUGGGAGCCAAGAAAAAUGUCUUCAUCAUUGGUGCAACAAACAGACCAGACAUCAUUGACCCCGCCAUCUUGAGACCUGGUCGUCUUGAUCAGCUGAUCUACAUUCCCCUGCCUGAUGACAAGUCCAGAAUCGCCAUCCUGAAGGCCAACCUCAGAAAGUCACCUGUGGCCAAGGUAAGCUGAGGGUAACCAGUGGUGUCCUGAUGGAGGGAGGUAAGCUGAGGGUAACCAGUGGUGUCCUGAUGGAGGGAGAUGGACGGCAAAAAUGUUUUUACUUUGAUGAACUAUGAAAAUUUUUUUAAAUGCAACUUUUUAUACAAAAUGCAAGAUAUUGAAUGUGACUUAAACAUGUUUAAUGCUUUAUUACUGUAUGGGUAGAUCCAAAAAGAAUAUCUGAGUUGACCUGUUUGUGGUGUGUUACAGGAUGUAGACGUGAACUACCUGGCCAAGGUGACACACGGCUUCAGUGGAGCCGAUCUGACAGAGAUCUGUCAGCGGGCCUGUAAGCUGGCCAUCCGUCAGUCCAUCGAGGCCGAGAUCAGGAUGGAGCGUGAGAGGGACAAAGACCCCAACGCCGACAUGGAGGUGGAAGACUUUGACCCAGUUCCAGAGAUAUCUAGAGCACAUUUUGAGGAGUCCAUGAAGUUUGCUCGCCGCUCAGUCAGCGACAAUGACAUCAGAAAAUACGAAAUGUUCGCUCAAACACUACAGCAGAGUCGAGGAUUCGGUGGAAAUUUCAGGUUCCCAGGACAACAAAGUGGCAGUAACCCGCCCAGUCAGGGCCAGGGAGGGAACUUUGAUGAUGGGGACGAUGACCUGUACAGUUAAUCUGGGUCACCCCUACAGGGCGCUGGUCAGUGAUAGGAAUAUUUAUAAACCUGUGUUUUCAUAUUUGAUUCAUUUCUCAUUUUGGAAAUGCGCAAACAUAGAACAUUUUAUUGUCUGACGAUUAAUCUGAGGGACAGCUUUUUCUAUCGGUCAUCAUCAUUGUUAGUUCGUGUGCACCCGUGGAAGUACAACAUAAAUAAGUUGGAUAAAGAAGAUAUGUGUACAAUUUUGUAAUAAACCAAUAACAUGU